AGUGCUCAGUCACCCUCUUUGAGAAAAGUGUUUCCUGAUGUUCAGGUGGGCAGUGUGAUGUGUUUCUGUUUGUGUCUCUGGGCUCCUGUUCUGCCAGUGGGCACCACUGAAAAGAAUCUGGCUCCAUCUUCUUUGGGCUGUUUCUCCAGAAUCCUCAGGACUGACAUCCCUUCUCUGUCAUCGUGGUACAGACACCAGCAGACAAUGUAUUUGUGCAUAAACCAGUGGAAUGGACCUUCAGGCUCUGCUGGGACUUCCUGCCACAGCCACACAAAGGGACAUGAUGGAGGUGUUUUUGUGACAGCACUUAGGAGAUUUGACAGCCCAGCUUCUGCUUGUCUACGG